GGGGGGGGAGGCCUGGGCCACUCAGCAGAUGCACGGGGGGCGGGGACAUUCCAUGAGGGGCCACGUGAACCGUCACCGAGGAAAUUCGCUGUUUUCUCUGAGAAACAGGUCUGCGAGCAGGAAUAAGGAACACAGGUUCUCACACGGGCCUUUCCCGUCGGAGUGGGCAGACUCGGGCCACAGCAGGCCGCCCCGGGGCCCUCGGCGGCCAGCUUUCAACCACAGGAAACGCGCGCACGCCAGCGUCUCGGACACUCAGGGCUCGGCUCUCCUGCCUGAUCUGAAACCAGGACCCACGGCUGCCGCGAACCCACGGGGCCGAGGGCUGAGUGAUUCCGGCAUCGUGGCUGCGAGCACCGAGCUCACCGUCCUGGGUUGUGAACUCCCCGCCCCAGACGGCACUGGCCCCUGCUUCUUCACCGGAGUCCCUGGUCACAUUCUGCCGAUGGACGCGGCGAGCAGAGCCCCCAGGGCCGUGGGCCGGGCGCUGGUCUCUGCCCCCAGCCAUCGCAUGGGCUUCUUGGGCCUACAUGCAGCGUGCCAUCCUCUCUCUCCUCUUAGCCCUUGGAUGGGGUGCUUUCUGUCUAAUUUGUUCUAUUAAGACUCUGAGCUUCUCAGAAAAUGAAUGUGUGUGUGACAUUAUACAGUGACAAGAAUUUGGUAAAGGAACAGGCAAGGAGUGGCACGGUGGUGACGCCUGCCUGGGCCCACACCGAGCAGUGCCAGGCUGGCUCCGUGCCGGAGCCCCUCCCGCUCCAUCUCAGCACACACAGCCCCCGGGGGGCAUCGCCCAGCCAGGGCAGCGGGCGUGUCCCCAGGGAGAGAACACCCGAGACUACAGCGGGUAGAACCUCAGACAUCGGCUGAGCACCCGCGGAGGAAGCACGGGGCAGCACCAGAGAGGAAGGAGUGAGAGUGAGACAGAAGCCAGAACCCCCUAGGGUGUGCCGAGGACCCUUCUGCUCAUCUCUGCGCGCUCGGGGCUGACGCUCCCGGAUAAACUCUCAGAAGCAGUCAGAGCUUCGGUUUCUGUUUUUUUCACUGUUUAUUUGAGACACAGACACACACACACACACACACACAGAUCCCAUGGACUGGUUCACCCCUCAAAUGCCCACAGCAGCCAGUUUGGGGCCAGGCUGCAGAGCCUGAGCCAGGACCGCGAGCGCCCACGUGGACGGUGGGAAUCCGGCAGACUGGGCGACCCCGUGCUGCCUGGCAGUGCCUGGCUAGCAGGAAGCCGGAAGCCGGAGUUGUGCAUGGGCGGUAGGUGCCUAAACACUGACGAAAUGCCUGCUCCACGCUGUCUGUUUUUCAAAACUGUUUUAUGGGGGCCGGUGCUGUGGUGUAGAGGAUAAAGCUACUGCCUAUAGUGCCGGCAUCCCGUAUGGGUGCUGGUUUGAGUCCCAGCUGCUCCACUUCAAGUCCCGGCUGUUCCACUUCUGAUCCAGCUCCCUGCUUAUGCUCCUGGGAAAGCAGUAGAAGAUGGUCUAAGUGCUUGGGCCCCUGCACCCACAUGGGAGACCUGGAAGAAGCUCCUGGCUCCUGGCUUCAGCCUGGCCCAGUCCCAGCCCCUGCAGCCAUUUGGGGAGUGAACCAGCAGAUGGAAGACUUCUCUCUCUCUCUCUGCCUCUAUGUAACUCUUAUUUUCAAAUAAAUAAAUAAAUAAAUAUUUUUUUAAAAAAACU
rnacentral:lncRNA from 1 species